AAAGGCAUCCUGGAUUUUUUUCUUAUAAAACGAAAACCAAAAAUGUAUCAAUAUGCUUUCUCAUAUAGGUAAAUAAAAAAUUACUGCUCCAUGCUUCUGAACAAUUCACAAACAUCUAAACAUAGAGCCCCUAGAUUUGAUAUAAAUGUCAAAAGAUGUCCAAAUUGCAAAGUUGAACUUAUCAAAUAGUUAGUCCAUUUUUAGCAAGCCAUGAAGAAAAUUAUGCUCAUUUAGUUUUGGAGCAUUUUAUAUCUAAGAAUAUAUUAUGGCUCCAAUCCUUUUCUUCUGCCCUCAUGUUUGGUGUCCGAGAAAAGCAUAAGAACUGUAUAGAAGACACAGCCAUGAACACACAACAUGCAACGCAAAUGAACAUGCAGAGAGAGAGAGAGAGAG
rnacentral:misc_RNA from 1 species